GACGAACGCUGGCGGCGUGCCUAAUACAUGCAAGUUGAGCGCUGAAGGUUGGUACUUGUACCAACUGGAUGAGCAGCGAACGGGUGAGUAACGCGUGGGGAAUCUGCCUUUGAGCGGGGGACAACAUUUGGAAACGAAUGCUAAUACCGCAUAAAAACUUUAAACACAAGUUUUAAGUUUGAAAGAUGCAAUUGCAUCACUCAAAGAUGAUCCCGCGUUGUAUUAGCUAGUUGGUGAGGCAAAGGCUCACCAAGGCGAUGAUACAUAGCCGACCUGAGAGGGUGGUCGGCCACAUUGGGACUGAGACACGGCCCAAACUCCUACGGGAGGCAGCAGUAGGGAAUCUUCGGCAAUGGACGAAAGUCUGACCGAGCAACGCCGCGGGAGUGAAGAAGGUUUUCGGAUCGUAAAACUCUGUUGGUAGAGAAGAACGUUGGUGAGAGUGGAAAGCUCAUCAAGUGACGGUAACUACCCAGAAAGGGACGGCUAACUACGUG
rnacentral:rRNA from 1 species